rnacentral:rRNA from 1 species
GACGAACCACACAAACGUUAUUCGGAAUUACUGGGCUUAAAGGGUGCGUAGGCUGUGCGGAAAGUUGGGUGUGAAAUCCCCCGGCUCAACCGGGGAAUUGCGCCCAAAACUACCGUGCUUGAGGAAGACAGAGGUGAGCGGAACUUCGGGUGGAGCGGUGAAAUGCGUUGAUAUCCGAAGGAACACCGGUGGCGAAAGCGGCUCACUGGUCCGGUACUGACGCUGAGGUGCGAAAGCGUGGGGAGCAAACAGG